CACACACAUCGUCAGAGGCAGGACGGGAGAGGUGAAGCUACCGUCUAACUCAUACAUAGCACAGGGGCCCUUGCUGCACUGCACUGCUGGAGUGUGUAGGGAUUGGCAUACUGUGGUGGACAGGGACAGGGGACACAGUGAAUCUGCCUCAGUAACGCCAGGAAGCUGGACAGGAACCAUACAACAAAUCCAGCAUCAUUUCUGCAGCAUGUCAUUGCCAUCUAGGAGACAGGACAAGGCCUUUUCCAUCAAUGGCCAGUUGGCAGAGCUAUUUCACCAGUGGUCAGAAUCAAUGAUCUUCUCUUGGGUAUCAUGGAAUUUUCGAGAAGCAGCUGAAUGGAGAAGAGAAGAAUCUCUAGGUGGCUCCCCAGGGACAAUCAAAUAAAUAUAAGUGUGUCUUCCAGAGAGCUGAGCACAGUCCAUGGUGGUUACACUGCUUUAAGAAAAGGACCGAGUGGCCAUCAGCUCAGUUAAGCACCUCACCCUCCUGUUGCAAUUUUUGGCUUUGCUGCCUGAAGUAACAGAAACUUUUGUGUCACGUCUUCCUCCUCAAAGUCAACUACACGACUGCAUUCACCAGUCAAGAAAACCACGGCGAACAGUGUACAUGCUCUACUGCGAAGGUCUCCCUUUAACCCAAUAUCUCUUUGUUCCCAAAUGAGGAAAAUCAGCAAGCAGGACCCACGCCCAUCGAUCUCAAGUUGCCGAUGCGGGUUGAGAAGUUCAGUGCACCAGCUUCUGACCCCUUCAGCAGUCUUGUUGACUUUGGCCUCUGUAGAGACUCUUGUUUAUUUGUGCAUAAAAUGCCUC